GGGCUCAGUAGUUGUGGUACUCAGACUUAGCUGCCCUGGAACACGUGGGAUCAUUUCCCUGACCAGGGAUCAAACCCAUGUCUCCUGCACUGGAAGGCAGGUUCUUAACCACUGGACCACUAGUAUUACAUCAGCUCCACCUCAGAUCAUUGGGUAUUAGACCCCAGAAGUUGGGCAACCCUGACUUAGACCAUGAAGGCCAGAUUUCUGCCUUUACAGUGAGUAAUGACAUGAUCUCCUUUUAAAGUUGAUGAGAAUAAAUGAAAUAUGACUGGAAAAAAGGACCCAAGAUGGUUUCUCCUCAAAGUAAGCACUGUAUAGAGUCCAGUAGUAGAGUAUCUUCAUUUCAAGUCCAGGAUGUCCAGAAGCAAGUAUUAAAGCAGCAGUGAUGUUGCUGGUACUGCUAAGAAAUGUCACGCGAUAACAAUGGCAACAAAAAUGAAAAUAAUUGAUAAGAGUGGAGCAAGGUGAAACGAUGGAGGCCUAGCAAAAGAAUGAAGAGCGGCAAGAGGAAGAAGAAAGAACUGAAGAACCGAAGAGACUCAUGACACAGGAAAUGGCAGGGGGAUUUUCUUCAUUCGAGGAGGCACUGUUAGCUUUGGAGGCACAGGACCUGCGCAUAGAACGGGACAGGAAAGUUUGCGUGAGGCCACCAUUCAGAAUGCAAGCCAGUGCUACUGUGUCCCCUAUGAUGAGAAAAAAAGAGCUAUGACCUAGUUAUCACUGGAUGAUUUUUUCAAGAGGGUAGAGAGAGUUGAAUCCAGCAACAAACCAGAACCUGUGCAUCAAUGCAAGGCAUGAGUGAAAUUGCAGCUUGAUUCCAUUUCCUGUUGCUGACAACUGUUCAGCUCUACCAUCUCCCGCCUCCCCGCCCUCCUCCAGUCAGUAACUCUUCUUGCCUGUUCACUGAUGCCAGCUCCUGUAUGCCAGCUGUUAUACUGCACUACUUCUUGUACUUUUCAAGCUACU
ensembl:lncRNA